rnacentral:rRNA from 1 species
CAGCAGCCGCGGGAAUACGUAGGUGGCAAGCGUUGUCCGGAAUUAUUGGGCGUAAAGGGCUCGCAGGCGGUUUCUUAAGUCUGAUGUGAAAGCCCCCGGCUCAACCGGGGAGGGUCAUUGGAAACUGAGAAACUUGAGUGCAGAAGAGGAGAGUGGAAUUCCACGUGCAGCGGUGAAAUGCGUAGAGAUGUGGAGGAACACCAGUGGCGAAGGCGACUCUCUGGUCUGUAACUGACGCUGAGGAGCGAAAGCGUGGGGAGCGAACAGGAUUAGAGACCCCUGUAGUCCCUGUCUCUUAUAC